UCUAAUAUGACAGAAUUUAUGUAAUGAAUUUAAGCUUCAUCAAUAAAGAUUUUUAUCUUUUUUUAGAA
rnacentral:tRNA from 1 species